rnacentral:rRNA from 1 species
UACGUAGGGGGCAAGCGUUGUCCGGAAUCAUUGGGCGUAAAGAGCGUGUAGGCGGCCAGAAAAGUCCGCUGUGAAAACUCGAGGCUCAACUUCGAGCUGUCGGUGGAAACUUUCUGGCUAGAGUCCGGAAGAGGAGAAUGGAAUUCCUGGUGUAGCGGUGAAAUGCGUAGAUAUCGGGAGGAACACCUGUGGCGAAAGCGGCUCACUGGACCACAACUGACGCUGAGACACGAAAGCGUGGGUAGCAAACAGG